GAUGAACGCUGGCGGCGUGCCUAAUACAUGCAAGUCGAGCGAAUGGAUUAAGAGCUUGCUCUUAUGAAGUUAGCGGCGGACGGGUGAGUAACACGUGGGCAACCUGCCCAUAAGACUGGGAUAACUCCGGGAAACCGGGGCUAAUACCGGAUAACAUUUUGAACCGCAUGGUUCGAAAUUGAAAGGCGGCUUCGGCUGUCACUUAUGGAUGGGCCCGCGUCGCAUUAGCUAGUUGGUGAGGUUACGGCUCACCAAGGCAACGAUGCGUAGCCGACCUGGGAGGGUGAUCGGCCACACUGGGACUGAGACACGGCCCAGACUCCUACGGGAGGCAGCAGUAGGGAAUCUUCCGCAAUGGACGAAAGUCUGACGGAGCAACGCCGCGUGAGUGAUGAAGGCUUUCGGGUCGUAAAACUCUGUUGUUAGGGAAGAACAAGUGCUAGUUGAAUAAGCUGGCACCUUGACGGUACCUAACCAGAAAGCCACGGCUAACUACGUGCCAGCCGCCGCGGUAA
rnacentral:rRNA from 1 species